AUGAGAUCGGAUUGUUUUUCCUUUCCACAGUGCAACCCAGCCACGAAUAUCAGGUUGUCAAGAUUAUAUAGCAGUGAUGGAUGCACAUGUGCGCAUGUUACUUCGUUACUGAAACCACUCAUGAUGCAUUGCAAGAAACACAUCUACAUAUACUGCUCAGUGUUGGCUCAAGUAGAAGCAAGCUCGACUAAUGUCAAUGGACGCACAAUUGAGAGAGAGAGAGAGAGAGAGAGAGAGAGAGAGAGAGAGAGAGCAGGGAAUAUGAGACCUCGGGAACAAGGAGGAGAGAUGGAGGACCGUGCUUCCCCAUGCAGAGAGAACAGAUUGUGCCAAAAUGCCUGGGUACUCUGGCUCAACUAUAAGAGAGGUAAAGGGCAACUGGGAUGCACUAAUAAAUCUUCAAUAGUUAACAAGAACUCCUCCAGAUUCUGGCUUCAGCGGCGGCAUGCACUCCUGUGGCGUCAAGGCUGUGCGCGCAGACUGUGUUCACAGUGGGCAUCCCCCGUGUCACCUUUCUGCAUUGGGCACCAUUGA
rnacentral:rRNA from 1 species